rnacentral:rRNA from 1 species
AAGCGCGGCGACGUGUUGAGCUAACCCAUACUAAUUACCCGUGAGGCUUAACCAUACAACACCCAAGGCGGCGACGUGUUGAGCUAACCCAUACUAAUUACCCGUGAGGCUUAACCAUACAACACCCAAGAAGUGUUCU